CACGUAGGCACCAAGCGUUGUCCGGAUUUAUUGGGCGUAAAGAGCUCGUAGGCGGUUCGGUAAGUCGGGUGUGAAAACUCUGGGCUCAACCCAGAGCCGCCACCCGAUACUGCUGUGACUCGAGUGCGGUAGGGGAGCGGGAAUUCCUGGUGUAGCGGUGAAAUGCGCAGAUAUCAGGAGGAACACCAGUGGCGAAGGCGCCGCUCUGGGCCGUGACUGACGCUGAGGAGCGAAAGCGUGGGGAGCGAACAGG
rnacentral:rRNA from 1 species